rnacentral:rRNA from 1 species
UGGGGAAUAUUGGACAAUGGGCGAAAGCCUGAUCCAGCAAUGCCGCGUGUGUGAAGAAGGCCUUCGGGUUGUAAAGCACUUUUGUCCGGAAAGAAAUCCUUGGCUCUAAUACAGUCGGGGGAUGACGGUACCGGAAGAAUAAGCACCGGCUAACUACGUGCCAGCAGCCGCGGUAAUACGUAGGGUGCAAGCGUUAAUCGGAAUUACUGGGCGUAAAGCGUGCGCAGGCGGUUUGCUAAGACCGAUGUGAAAUCCCCGGGCUCAACCUGGGAACUGCAUUGGUGACUGGCAGGCUAGAGUAUGGCAGAGGGGGGUAGAAUUCCACGUGUAGCAGUGAAAUGCGUAGAGAUGUGGAGGAAUACCGAUGGCGAAGGCAGCCCCCUGGGCCAAUACUGACGCUCAUGCACGAAAGCGUGGGGAGCAAACAGGAUUAGAUACCCUGGUAGUCCACGCCCUAAACGAUGUCAACUAGUUGUUGGGGAUUCAUUUCCUUAGUAACGUAGCUAACGCGUGAAGUUGACCGCCUGGGGAGUACGGUCGCAAGAUUAAAACUCAAAUGAAUUGAC